GACGAACGCUGGCGGCGUGCUUAACACAUGCAAGUCGAACGGUGAUGCUCCAGCUUGCUGGCGUGGAUCAGUGGCGAACGGGUGAGUAACACGUGAGCAACCUGCCCCAGACUCUGGAAUAAGCGCUGGAAACGGCGUCUAAUACUGGAUACGAAACUGGCCCGCAUGGGCAUGGUUUGGAAAGUUGUUCGGUUUGGGAUGGGCUCGCGGCCUAUCAGCUUGUUGGUGAGGUAAUGGCUCACCAAGGCGACGACGGGUAGCCGGCCUGAGAGGGCGACCGGCCACACUGGGACUGAGACACGGCCCAGACUCCUACGGGAGGCAGCAGUGGGGAAUAUUGCACAAUGGGCGCAAGCCUGAUGCAGCGACGCCGCGUGAGGGAUGACGGCCUUCGGGUUGUAAACCACUUUCAGCAGGGAAGAAGCGAAAGUGACGGUACCUGCAGAAGAAGCACCGGCUAACUACGUG
rnacentral:rRNA from 1 species